CUGCUUCGCUGACGAGUGGCGGACGGGUGAGUAAUGUCUGGGAAACUGCCUGAUGGAGGGGGAUAACUACUGGAAACGGUGGCUAAUACCGCAUAACGUCGCAAGACCAAAGAGGGGGACCUUCGGGCCUCUUGCCAUCAGAUGUGCCCAGAUGGGAUUAGCUUGUUGGUGAGGUAACGGCUCACCAAGGCGACGAUCCCUAGCUGGUCUGAGAGGAUGACCAGCCACACUGGAACUGAGACACGGUCCAGACUCCUACGGGAGGCAGCAGUGGGGAAUAUUGCACAAUGGGCGCAAGCCUGAUGCAGCCAUGCCGCGUGUAUGAAGAAGGCCUUCGGGUUGUAAAGUACUUUCAGCGGGGAGGAAGGUGUUGUGGUUAAUAACCGCAGCAAUUGACGUUACCCGCAGAAGAAGCACCGGCUAACUCCGUGCCAGCAGCCGCGGUAAUACGGAGGGUGCAAGCGUUAAUCGGAAUUACUGGGCGUAAAGCGCACGCAGGCGGUCUGUCAAGUCGGAUGUGAAAUCCCCGGGCUCAACCUGGGAACUGCAUUCGAAACUGGCAGGCUUGAGUCUUGUAGAGGGGGGUAGAAUUCCAGGUGUAGCGGUGAAAUGCGUAGAGAUCUGGAGGAAUACCGGUGGCGAAGGCGGCCCCCUGGACAAAGACUGACGCUCAGGUGCGAAAGCGUGGGGAGCAAACAGGAUUAGAUACCCUGGUAGUCCACGCCGUAAACGAUGUCUACUUGGAGGUUGUGCCCUUGAGGCGUGGCUUCCGGAGCUAACGCGUUAAGUAGACCGCCUGGGGAGUACGGCCGCAAGGUUAAAACUCAAAUGAAUUGACGGGGGCCCGCACAAGCGGUGGAGCAUGUGGUUUAAUUCGAUGCAACGCGAAGAACCUUACCUGGUCUUGACAUCCACAGAAGAAUCCAGAGAUGGAUUUGUGCCUUCGGGAACUGUGAGACAGGUGCUGCAUGGCUGUCGUCAGCUCGUGUUGUGAAAUGUUGGGUUAAGUCCCGCAACGAGCGCAACCCUUAUCCUUUGUUGCCAGCGGUUAGGCCGGGAACUCAAAGGAGACUGCCAGUGAUAAACUGGAGGAAGGUGGGGAUGACGUCAAGUCAUCAUGGCCCUUACGACCAGGGCUACACACGUGCUACAAUGGCGCAUACAAAGAGAAGCGACCUCGCGAGAGCAAGCGGACCUCAUAAAGUGCGUCGUAGUCCGGAUUGGAGUCUGCAACUCGACUCCAUGAAGUCGGAAUCGCUAGUAAUCGUGGAUCAGAAUGCCACGGUGAAUACGUUCCCGGGCCUUGUACACACCGCCCGUCACACCAUGGGAGUGGGUUGCAAAAGAAGUAGGUAGCUUAACCUUCGGGAGGGCGCUUACCACUUUGUGAUUCAUGACUGGGGUGAAGUCGUAACAAGGUAACCGUAGGGGAACCUGCGGUUGGAUCACCUCCUUACCUUAAAGAA
rnacentral:rRNA from 1 species